CACGUAGGGGGCGAGCGUUGUCCGGAUUUAUUGGGCGUAAAGAGCUCGUAGGCGGCUCAGUAAGUCGGGUGUGAAAACUCCAGGCUCAACCUGGAGACGCCACCCGAUACUGCUGUGGCUAGAGUCCGGUAGGGGAGCAUGGAAUUCCUGGUGUAGCGGUGAAAUGCGCAGAUAUCAGGAGGAACACCAGUGGCGAAGGCGGUGCUCUGGGCAUGUCCUGACGCUGAGGAGCGAAAGUGUGGGGAGCGAACAGG
rnacentral:rRNA from 1 species